rnacentral:rRNA from 1 species
AUUGAACGCUGGCGGCAGGCCUAACACAUGCAAGUCGAACGGCAACAGAGUAUGAGCUUGCUAUUACUGGUGGCGGGGGGAGUACGAGUGCGGAAUACAUCGGGAUCUAGUUUUUCGCGGGGGAUAACGUUGGCAAAUUUACGAUACUACCGAAGACGAACAGCGGGUGAAAGCAAGGGCUUUUCGGACUUUACGCGCCUGAAGGAGACGAUGUCGGAUUAGCUAGUUGGCGGGGUAAAGGCUCACCAAGGCGACGAUCCGUAGCUGGUCUGAGAGGAUGAUCAGCCACACUGGAACUGAGACACGGUCCAGACUCCUACGGGAGGCAGCAGUGGGGAAUAUUGGACAAUGGGCGCAAGCCUGAUCCAGCCAUACCGCGUGGGGGAUGAAGGCCUUCGGGUUGUAAAGUCCUUUUGUUGGGAAAGAAAAGCAUCAGGUUAAUACCCGGCUGUUAUGACGGUACCCAAAGAAUAAGCACCGGCUAACUACGUG